AGGAGCGCAGCUGGAAGUCAUCAUCCAUUGGAAUAUAAGGAGCCAACAUCUCCAAAUCUAAAUCAGUUUCCUGGAAAACAUAUGAGAUUUCCACACAUUCUGUGAGGUUAGAUGUUCCUGCUCUAGUAACAGUGACCGUGGGCUGACAAGCUUGAGGCUUCCCUAUAUACAGGAAUCUUGAAGGCUCUUAGAUCAAAAACACCCAAAAGUGAACUCAUGCAUUCUUCAGAACCUCAGAAAGGUUUGGGCUCACACAACAACACAGCUACUAGUUAUUAAUAUUUGUUUUUAUGCAUUUUGUUAUUGUUGCUGCUUCACCAUCAACAGACUGCUGGAAACAGUCUUCUGAACUCCACACCACAGGUCAAGGACUUGGAGGAGCAAAGGUCUAAGGCAGCCUUACAGCACGCACAGGAGGAAGCAAGCACCUAUAUGUAAAUGCAAGCUGAUACUUUCCUGACUCAAGUUUUCCGCRUGAUAACAGAAAGGAUUUCUCGCUCCCCUCUUUUAGCAGAGCCUCAAACCGUGUUUUGCAGGUGGCUAUGCAGCUUCUCAAGCCUUACGAAGSUUUUAACAUCACCUUCACCUAACCUAAACAACCCUUUGCCAGGCAUUUCUCAGAAAAUGAGGAAGGCAACUCCAGGAGGGAAUAAGACACAUUAUGCACUUGCAGAGAUAUAGAAUAAACCUGCUGCACUUAAAAAGAAAAGCAAAUAAAAUGGAAAAUCAUCCUGCUGCUUCCAUCAAUGUGUACCAAUUACAAAUGCCCCAACUUUUUUCUCUAAUAAAAGCAAACCGAAGCACCAACAGUGCAACAUUUUUAAAAGUAUCUACAGGAGACAAGUCUUCCACGGCUUUUCUUCAUCUGGCUUUCUGCAUCUUGCGAUCAUGAAGAAAUACCUCUGCUGCUUAGAUCUUUACAGGACAUGCAGCAAAAAGUAAAUUCUGAUCACUUUUAUGAAAGGAAUUUAAAACUCAAAGAAGUUGCAGGAAAUGACAAAAAAAAUGCUCUAAAAGAACUCCUGAGCCAAGCCAAACCAUCCAGCAAAAGCCGGUUGAGACCAAGUCCUGCGAGCCAUAAAGCACCCUGCCCUCCCUCGACCGGCAGGGAGAUCCUUCCGCCAAGCUGGAAAGGUUUCCCCUCUUUUUACACCAUGUAGGAAGAGCCCCAGCUACACAACWUACUACGGGGUUUUGUACCAGCUUUCAGCUCUGUUAACGGUGGCUCAGUUCCACUGGUGCUGAAAGGAACUGGCAAACAAAAAGCAAGGGGGCACAUUCAAUUCUAGACAUCUCACAAAGGUUUAAGAACGAGCAGGGUUAGCACAUCGCCUCUUUCACAACCUGCCACUCAGGACCUAGGCCUCUUGAUCAGAUUUUGCUGCUGACCAAAGUGGCAGAAAUCAGCAGCAAAAUCCUGGUCUUUCAAGUCCUGGGUACUAGAUAUCAAGUCCCAACUACUGGAAACAGAASAGCUCAAGACACUAAGGUCAGAACAUUAUGUUAUCCAACUUAAUGUCUCCAAUGAGAUCCAGCCCGAGCACUCAGGAAAUUACUUUUAAAAUCUCAUUUACCACUUCUCUUUAGCAGUCAGAUGAUAAGGUAUAAGGAAUUAUAGAUAUUCCUCCACAAGUGAUGAUUUCGAACAAGUCCAAGGUUUAUUUUUCUAGUGCAUCUACAAACCAACUACCGAAGUAACUAGCAAACCUAAAUAGCUCCUUUACUUCAAGCAGCGCAAGAAUCCCUCCAUUAACAGCAAACAGUCCUACUACCUGCAGAGGAGACAACUUUUCACAGCACAAGCCACUCCACUAAAAUUUAUUAAAAGAAUAAUGAGGAAAAUCAUCGCAUGUCUAAUCAAAAGCCUUAACUUCAAAUGAAAUGAAAUUUAGUAAGCAAAUCUAUAAACAAGGUUGCUCUAUCCAUUAUAUACACCAAGAUGUACUUACUGCUUGCAACACGUGGAGAAAAAAAAAAAAAAGCCACAAGCCAGAAGCACAUGAAAAUGAUGCAACUACCAAAGCAGAACAGAUAAAACUCAAAUAGCCACCGCUACCUAAUUGUGUUGCAAAAACAUACAGUGCUUAAGAUUCCACAAGAAAUCAGGUCGGAUCUACACAAGUUUGGGACUACAUGAAAGAAUAGUUUCAACAAAUCAAGCAAUACUUCUAGUUGGCAUUAUGAACAGCACAUUCAUAAUAUUUCACUUCAUAAUUACAUAAGAGACAGACUGGGUCAAAUUCCAUAAUUUCUGUAUCUCACAGCACAUAACGAGCAAGCAAAAAAACCUCACUCUACCCAACUAUCGAUAGCAGAACAUUAUCCAACUACAGACACAGACAAGGAAAGGGAAUU